rnacentral:tRNA from 4 species
CGGGGUGUAGUUCAUCGGUAGAACGCUCGGUUUGGGACCGAGAAGUAGUGGGUUCAAUUCCCUCCACCCCGACCA